GGGAGCUCUCAUGAAUGUCUCCCAAUGCUUCAUAUCUUUAUUUCUUAGACUUUGUAUUUGCUUGCUUUUCUUGGUUUUUAUCUAGAAUUCUCCAUUCCUAAGCCAAGCCUGGAGGCUUUCUACCAUUUUUUCCAUGGAGCAAGUGUCAUUCUUCCCCCUUACAAAGUCUCCACUUUAUUUCAAGUCUGCUGAAAAUGUUUUUUCUUUGCAUAUUUCUUUUUGUUGUUAUUUGUUUCUUCAAUUGCAUUAUUUAACUGUCUGUCUAGAGGGUACAGGAGCUGUUUCUGCAUUCCAGACUCGCCUAAAUUCCUGUUAACUCAAUGGAUGUUUUGAGUGUGCAAGGAUGGGGCUAAGAAUUGUGUUCUAUAUUCUGCACUUCAGAAGUCUUCCCAAGUAUCAACACUUACAAUUGAAACUUCAAAGCAAACAAGCAGCAGAUACAGUACGGAUGAAAUGCAUAUGAAAUGCCUCUGAACUCUGCGUGGUAGGAUGGAACUCACAGAGUCAUUUAUCAUCACCUGUCCCCACAUCCUUGCUUCAAGUUGCUGUGGAGGAAACCACUUAACAUCAAACCCCCGACUGACUAGAAAUGAAAAGAAUGCAGUGAUUUUAAGAGUUGAAAGCCACAGUAGAUCCCCAGAGAAGACUGCACAUCUCAUGAUCUCUGAUGGAGGGACAGCACCAACCUCUCGUAAGUUACGUAAGUGUAAAAUUUUUACUCUCAUCCUGCAUUUCCUCAUCACUAAGGGCUACUCAGCUCCAGAGUUUUAAUCAGUUUUUAAAAGCCUGAUUGGAGAUUUGUGUUGAGUUAGCCUAAGUUCUGAUUUUUCCUAUGACUUGGGAAAAUCCAGCCUAGAUACUAAAUUCUCACCUUGUCUUUUGUCAGUACUAACGUAUAUACUUCACUGAAAACCAACCAGUUUGGAUGUGGUGCCAUGACGCACACAAUAAAUUACAGAUAUUGUUCCA
rnacentral:lncRNA from 14 species